rnacentral:rRNA from 1 species
UACGGGGGGGGCAAGCGUUGUUCGGAAUUACUGGGCGUAAAGGGCUCGUAGGCGGCCAACUAAGUCAGACGUGAAAUCCCUCGGCUUAACCGGGGAACUGCGUCUGAUACUGGAUGGCUUGGAUUUGGGAGAGGGAUGCGGAAUUCCAGGUGUAGCGGUGAAAUGCGUAGAUAUCUGGAGGAACACCGGUGGCGAAGGCGGCAUCCUGGACCAACAUUGACGCUGAGGAGCGAAAGCCAGGGGAGCAAACGGG